UUUCAGCCCCUCUCUCUCUCUCUCUCUCUCUCUCUCUAGCUGGCCGACGAGAUAUGUUUGUUGCACUUCAAGUGUACAUCAGUUGUACACCAAAUCUGACGUGGACCACUAUUUUUUUUUUUAAAAAAAUACCACUAAAUCGCUGAAGGGCCCUUCCAGCCUAUGUUUGACUCUCUCUCUCUCUCUCUCUCUCUCUCUCUCUCCCCCCUGCAUCUGGCUUUUUUCCCCCAUUUUUCGGCGUGCUCUCCCUUUCUCCGGCGAUUCUUCUCGUUUUCCGGCGUGCUAGCUCUUCUCCGGCGUAAAAGGUACUCUCCGGCGUCCGGAUCGGUGAGUCCGAGCCCCAUGGGCUUCGGGUUUGGGUUAUCUUUGAGUUUUUCGCUUGAAUCGAUGAGUUCCAUUGUCCGAGUCUCCGCUCCGAGUUUUUCUGGAUUUUGAAUGUCAUGCAGGUUAUGCUUUGGAAGACUGCUUUGUGACUUUUUGUUGUUGAGUGUGAUGCAGAAGAACAUGUUGUAGCAGCAGAGAAUUAUGGAGGUCAAGAUAAAAUGCCUUAUGAAUUUGAAUUGAAAAUACAAAUAUAAUGGAAUCUCUGGAAUAUAAUGGAAUGUAGAUGAUGUACUUGAAUUUGUAACUUGUAGUUUCUAUUUUGAACUCUUUACUUUGUUUCCAUAGUUUACAAUUGUUUUUUUUUUUUUUUUUUUGAACAAGCAUUUCAAACAUUCAUUCUCUGAUGUUUAUGUUGAGGAAUGGUUGAAUGGUACUUGGCUACUUGGUUCUUGGAGAAAUAUAUGGAAUGGUCGAAUGUUUAGGUUCUACUA